UGGGGAAUAUUGGACAAUGGGGGAAACCCUGAUCCAGCCAUGCCGCGUGUGUGAAGAAGGCCUUCGGGUUGUAAAGCACUUUAAGCAGGGAGGAAAGAGCAAUGGCUAAUAUCCAUUGUUUUUGACGCUACCUGCAGAAUAAGCACCGGCUAACUUCGUGCCAGCAGCCGCGGUAAUACGAAGGGUGCAAGCGUUAAUCGGAAUUACUGGGCGUAAAGCGCGCGUAGGCGGUUUGAUAAGUUGGAUGUGAAAGCCCCGGGCUCAACCUGGGAAUUGCAUCCAAGACUGUCAGGCUAGAGUACGGGAGAGGGGGGUAGAAUUCCACGUGUAGCGGUGAAAUGCGUAGAGAUGUGGAGGAAUACCGGUGGCGAAGGCGGCCCCCUGGAUCGAUACUGACGCUGAGGUGCGAAAGCGUGGGGAGCAAACAGG
rnacentral:rRNA from 1 species